rnacentral:tRNA from 1 species
UAGCUCAGUUGGUAGAGCACCACCAUGGUAAGGUGGGGGUCGCCGGUUCAAGCCC